GAUGAACGCUGGCGGCGUGCCUAAUACAUGCAAGUCGAGCGAAGCGGGGACGGGUGAGUAACACGUGGAUAACCUCCUAUAAGACUGGGAUAACUUCGGGAAACCGGAGCUAAACCGGAUACUUAUAGUUGGAUCUCCGCUUCAUUAGCUAGUUGGUAAGGUAACGGCUUACCAAGGCAACGAUGCGACGCCGACCUGAGAGGGUGAGCGGCCACACUGGAACUGAGAGACGGUCCAGACGCCUACGGGAGGCAGCGGUAGGGAAUAUUGCACAAUGGGCGCAAGCCUGAUGCCGCCAUGCCGCGUGUGUGAAGAAGGCCUUCGGGUUGUAAAGCACUUUCAGCGAGGAGGCGGUACGCGGAGAAGAAGCACCGGCUAACUCCGUGCCAGCAGCCGCGGUAAUUG
rnacentral:rRNA from 1 species